rnacentral:rRNA from 1 species
GAUGAACGCUGGCGGCGUGCCUAAUACAUGCAAGUCGAGCGAACGGACGAGAAGCUUGCUUCUCUGAUGUUAGCGGCGGACGGGUGAGUAACACGUGGAUAACCUACCUAUAAGACUGGGAUAACUUCGGGAAACCGUAGCUAAUACCGGAUCAUAUUUUGAACCGCAUGGUUCAAAAGUGAAAGACAGUCUUGCUGUCACUUAUAGAUGGAUCCGCGCUGCAUUAGCUAGUUGGUAAGGUAACGGCUUACCAAGGCAACGAUGCAUAGCCGACCUGAGAGGGUGAUCGGCCACACUGGAACUGAGACACGGUCCAGACUCCUACGGGAGGCAGCAGUAGGGAAUCUUCCGCAAUGGGCGAAAGCCUGACGGAGCAACGCCGCGUGAGUGAUGAAGGUCUUCGGAUCGUAAAGCUCUGUUAUUAGGGAAGAACAUAUGUGUAAGUAACUGUGCACAUCUUGACGGUACCUAAUCAGAAAGCCACGGCUAACUACGUG